CCCAUCUGCAGGCGCGCGCGCCGCCCGGGCCGCUCCAAAUCGCCGGCCUCUGGAGAAGCCUCACCGCCGUCUUCUUUGGCCUCAGCUCCCGCCAACCCUCGUCCACUGCGGGAAUAGGGACACACAAGCAGUAUGCCACCUGUCCUAAGGAAGAGGAUGGGAAUAUAUCAUACGAGCUGCAGUGCAAAGUCACUAGACCGGAGCACGUCUACAGCUCCAUUAAGGGGAUCCUCAAUUCCUCGCUGGACCGCAGGACUCGUUCAAGCUGAAAUCGACGUGUACUGAAAGUAGUGGCGAAGACUACACCAUUGACUCCGGUUGGCAGUUCAUGGCAAGUGAGUGGUAUUAAGACUUACCAGUUACUCCCAGCACUCAUGCACACAAAACUGAAGCAACAAAGAAGAAACUCCACUCUGAAAUCCAGCAAAGCACCCAUGCCAAGCCAGCUGAUUUGGUUGUGCGUGCUCUUGUUCGUCUAUUUGCAUGACGGUGUUACUGCCAUCGAUGAGUACACAUACAAGGGGUUCGUGUUCUCCAUCACACCCAUCAGACUCUGGGCCUCUGGCCAUUCCGGCGAUGGAAUGGCGUUUGUCACCUCCUUGGCCCCGCUGUCUGAUGUCUGUACACGGAAAUACUUGGGCCUUGACACCAUAGCUAACAAGUGAUGUGGAAGGCUGGGAGC